UAGUUAUAGGGAAAUCACAUUUUUGACUAUCAUUUGUUUUAGUUGUUUUGAAAUUCAUUCUAAAUUUGUUAACAUUAUCAGUAUGGGAUGACUGCUUAAUGGUAUGCACAUGUUGGCCCUGACUGAUCCCAAAAAGUAUCAAUCAAAUUUACUGAAAUAUUUCAAAAAUCAGGUGACCGUUAAGGCCCAUGGGCCUCUUGUUUUCUAAUUAAUGUAUUUUUGAUAAGGGUAUUAUUAGCUUGCCAUCAUUGCUUUCCACUAAGAAUUUUGGUUUAUUUUACUGGUGAUAUUUAGAUAAGCCCUGGUUUCUUCAAUGUGUAUAAAAUCAAGAAAAUUGUACAUAAUUUUUUUCAAAAAAAAAAAAAAACGUUACAAAAUUUAAGAAAGUUUCCUUAACUAACAAUUUCUUUCUUGUCUGCAAUAUAAUGCUUAAAAAUGGUAAGGAAUUUCUUUAAGGAACAUUGAAGAAACCAGGAUUAGACUAUGGCUGUUAGCAUUUAUUAUUCCAAUGUGUUGUUAAUGUUUUAUACCGUGCGUUGUAUACCUUAUACCUCUGCAUAGUUAGUAUGAAUAUUUCCUUUCAUUUUUACAUAACCAGUGCAUGCUUAAGAUGUUUUGUUUUUGACUUUCAAACGUUAGUUCUGUGAUAAUUUUGUUGUAUUUUGUUAUAAUACCUUUCUGUGGUAAGACUGUUGUAGCAUGUAAACAUAUCAUAUGCUGUAUGUAAAUAUUAUUAUUUACACUGAACUUUUGUAACAUAAUAGAUAACUUGAAUAUAAAGUUGGACACUUUGUGUAUAAAAUCUCAUAUACAAUAUUUGACUUCCGACGUGUGAGUAAUUAAUUCAUUGUGUGGUUUGAUUUUGGUUCAUUGCUUAAUUGGAUUAUCAAAAACAAUAUCUAAUUUAUUUCAUCCACAUCUUUUAUUAUGAUUUAACAUUUUAAAGCCAGUAUCAGUCAUGUGUUCCCCAACUUGUUGCACUUUCAAAACAUAAGGUUAUGUCCUAUAUUCGCCUGCAAUUAACAGUUCUGUAAUUUCAUUGGUGUAGACUCCCAGCCUUGAUCAAGAACAUUAUUAACAGAAAUUAAUUUAAAAUAGCAACAUUUUAAGUUCUUUUUCUUUUUUCGUGUUUUUUUUUAAUGUGUGUGGUUUUUUUCCCCUUAUGGUGAGGGUUUAUAGGGAACAUUCAUCUCUUUACAUAGAAUACAGUUUUCCCUUUAUGGUGAGGGUUAUAGGGAACAUUCAUCUCUUUACAUAGAAUACAGCUUCCCCUCUUGGUGAGGGUUUAUAAGGAACAUUCAUCUCUUUACAUAGAAUACAGUUUUCCCUUUAUGGUGAGGGUUAUAGGGAAGAUUCAUCUCUUUACAUAGAAUACAGCUUCCCCUCUUGGUGAGGGUUUAUAAGGAACAUUCAUCUCUUUACAUAGAAUACAGUUUUCCCCUCUUGGUGGGGGUUUAUAGGGAACAUUCAUCUCUUUACAUAGAAUACAGUUUUCCCUUUAUGGUGAGGGUUUAUAGGGAACAUUCAUCUCUUUACAUAGAAUACAGUUUUCCCGUCUUGGUGAGGGUUUAUAGGGAACAUUCAUCUCUUUACAUAGAAUACAGUUUUCCCUCUUGGUGAGGGUUUAUAGGGAACAUUCAUCUCUUUACAUAGAAUACAGUUUUCCCUUUAUGGUGGGGGUUUAUAGGGAACAUUCAUCUCUUUACAUAGAAUACAGUUUUCCCUUUAUGGUGGGGGUUUAUAGGGAACAUUCAUCUCUUUACAUAGAAUACAGUUUUCAUCUGAAAAGAUUUUUUAUUUUCUCCCACAGUUCUUAGGUACAUCACCAAUUAGGUCAGAAAAUGAAGGUACAGGAAAGGGAAAUUCUAUUCAAACAAUUUUAAAAUUGGUUUCUAAACCUUUUUUGAAAUUCUGAGGUAAAGAUUUCCCUAUCCACCAAUCCUGAGGUAUAAAAAAAAACUCAUUUCUCUCAUUUCUUUUACCAGAACUAACAAAGACACCGUGAAGAGUCUUUAACUGGUUAGCAUCUACCAGGAGGUGACAAAGGAGUUUCUUUAACUGUGGAUAGCUUGACACAAUGUAUUCUGUUAUGGAGAUCCUUGGCCGGGACUACAUUCCAGAGCUUUAUGUUGAUGAUACAAUUUGGUUGUUAACAAAUGUGUUUUUGGACAGUAGACACACCAGGUGCACAUUUCAAAUGUAGUAAAUGUGAACAGAUUUCGAAAAGUUUGAAAUGCAAAACAUGUAUCAAUUGAUAAAUGUAAAAAAGUCUGCAUUGCUAUUAAUGAAGAAAGUGCCAUGUUUAUAAAGAAUCAUCAAUAAACAAGUUUAUAUUAACA